GGGACUGAAGAGCCCCGCAGGAGCGGUGACUAACGGAGGCAGAAGCAGAGGGGGAGGGUUUGGGGCUCUGUCGUCACCGGGAGCUGCAGCAGCAGCAGCAGCAGCAUCAUCAGCAUCACUGAAGUGAGUAAAGGCAACAACAGUGCGCAACUUGGAGAAAUAACUCCACAGCAGCGCGCAUGUGUCCGUCUGCCGAGGCGCGUCCAGGCGGUCAGACCCACGCGUGGUUGCGGGAGUAAAUGAACCAGAAGCUCCGCUCGCUGUGGCCGUGCAACCAGGAAAGUCAUGGAUUUUAGGAGGAAGCAUCUCCCCAUCGUGAUUUUCUUAAUAAGCAACGCCUGGCAGACGUUUUCUUACACCUUU